rnacentral:rRNA from 1 species
GACGAACGCUGGCUGCGUGCUUAACACAUGCAAGUCGAACGGAAAGGCCCUGCUUUUGUGGGGUGCUCGAGUGGCGAACGGGUGAGUAACACGUGAGUAACCUGCCCUUGACUUUGGGAUAACUUCAGGAAACUGGGGCUAAUACCGGAUAGGAGCUCCUGCUGCAUGGUGGGGGUUGGAAAGUUUCGGCGGUUGGGGAUGGACUCGCGGCUUAUCAGCUUGUUGGUGGGGUAGUGGCUUACCAAGGCUUUGACGGGUAGCCGGCCUGAGAGGGUGACCGGCCACAUUGGGACUGAGAUACGGCCCAGACUCCUACGGGAGGCAGCAGUGGGGAAUAUUGCACAAUGGGCGGAAGCCUGAUGCAGCAACGCCGCGUGCGGGAUGACGGCCUUCGGGUUGUAAACCGCUUUCGCCUGUGACGAAGCGUGAGUGACGGUAAUGGGUAAAGAAGCACCGGCUAACUACGUGCCGGCAGCCGCGGUGAUACGUAGGGUGCGAGCGUUGUCCGGAUUUAUUGGGCGUAAAGGGCUCGUAGGUGGUUGAUCGCGUCGGAAGUGUAAUCUUGGGGCUUAACCCUGAGCGUGCUUUCGAUACGGGUUGACUUGAGGAAGGUAGGGGAGAAUGGAAUUCCUGGUGGAGCGGUGGAAUGCGCAGAUAUCAGGAGGAACACCAGUGGCGAAGGCGGUUCUCUGGGCCUUUCCUGACGCUGAGGAGCGAAAGCGUGGGGAGCGAACAGGCUUAGAUACCCUGGUAGUCCACGCUGUAAACGGUGGGUACUAGGUGUGGGGUCCAUUCCACGGGUUCCGUGCCGUAGCUAACGCUUUAAGUACCCCGCCUGGGGAGUACGGCCGCAAGGCUAAAACUCAAAGGAAUUGACGGGGCCCCGCACAAGCGGCGGAGCAUGCGGAUUAAUUCGAUGCAACGCGUAGAACCUUACCUGGGUUUGACAUGGAUCGGGAGCGCUCAGAGAUGGGUGUGCCUCUUUUGGAGUCGGUUCACAGGUGGUGCAUGGCUGUCGUCAGCUCGUGUCGUGAGAUGUUGGGUUAAGUCCCGCAACGAGCGCAACCCUUGUUCACUGUUGCCAGCACGUUAUGGUGGGGACUCAGUGGAGACCGCCGGGGUCAACUCGGAGGAAGGUGGGGAUGACGUCAAGUCAUCAUGCCCCUUAUGUCCAGGGCUUCACGCAUGCUACAAUGGCUGGUACAGAGAGUGGCGAGCCUGUGAGGGUGAGCGAAUCUCGGAAAGCCGGUCUCAGUUCGGAUUGGGGUCUGCAACUCGACCUCAUGAAGUCGGAGUCGCUAGUAAUCGCAGAUCAGCAACGCUGCGGUGAAUACGUUCCCGGG